AGGAUCCGAGCGUUAUCCGGAUUUAUUGGGUUUAAAGGGUGCGUAGGCGGCAUUAUAAGUCAGGGGUGAAAUACGGCAGCUCAACUGUCGCAGUGCCUUUGAUACUGUAGUGCUUGAAUAGGUUCGAAGAAGGCGGAAUGGGACAAGUAGCGGUGAAAUGCAUAGAUAUGUCCCGGAACCCCAAUUGCGAAGGCAGCUUUCUAGGCCCUUAUUGACGCUGAUGCACGAAAGCGUGGGGAUCGA
rnacentral:rRNA from 1 species